CUACGGGCGGCAGCAGUAAGGAAUAUUGCGCAAUGGAGGCAACUCUGACGCAGCCAUGCCGCGUGCAGGAAGAAGGCCUUAUGGGUCGUAAACUGCUUUUAUUUAGGAAUAAACCCCCGAACGUGUUCGGGGCUGAAGGUACUAAACGAAUAAGCACCGGCUAACUCGUGCCAGCAGCCGCGGUAAUACGGAGGGUGCAAGCGUUAUCCGGAUUUAUUGGGUUUAAAGGGUGCGCAGGCGGGCUAUUAAGUCAGUGGUGAAAUCCCGGGGCUCAACUCCGGAACUGCCAUUGAUACUGAUAGUCUUGAGUUUGGUUGAAGUGGGCGGAAUGUAGCAUGUAGCGGUGAAAUGCAUAGAUAUGCUACAGAGCACCAAUCGCGAAGGCAGCUCACUAAGCCAAAACUGACGCUCAUGCACGAAAGCGUGGGGAUCAAACAGGAUUAGAUACCCUCGUAGUC
rnacentral:rRNA from 1 species